GCGAGUAUAGUCCAAUGGUAGAAUGUCGGCUUCCCAAGCCGAAGACGCGGGUUCGAUUCCCGCUACUCGCACCA
rnacentral:tRNA from 1 species